rnacentral:misc_RNA from 1 species
UACGGCGGGGGCUAGCGUUGUUCGGAAUUACUGGGCGUAAAGCGCGCGUAGGCGGCUUUCCAAGUUGGGGGUGAAAUCCCGGGGCUUAACCCCGGAAUUGCCUUCAAAACUGGAAGGCUUGAGGUCGAGAGAGGUAAGGGGAAUUCCUAGUGUAGAGGUGAAAUUCGUAGAUAUUAGGAAGAACACCAGUGGCGAAGGCGCCUUACUGGCUCGAUUCUGACGCUGAGGUGCGAAAGCGUGGGGAGCAAACAGG